AAAUUCCAAAUGUCAAUUCUGACAUUUGUUGAAGCAAGAACUAACCCAUUAAACAUAAAAAUGGGUCUGAGAAGGACAUUUAUUUUUCCAUAUGAAAAAAUGUCUGUACUGUUUUUUUUUGUUUGUUUUUUUGUUUUUUUAGCCAUUGGUCUUAAAGCUUCUGUUCAGAUUAAUCUUUUUUCUAUCGGAUAGGGUAUCCAAGGACCUCCAGGAUUAAUAGGCGUUCGUGGGAAACCAGGACCACAGGGAAAAGAAGGAGAUAAAGGACCAGAUGGGGCACCGGGACCACCAGGUCCCGAGGGUUUCCCUGGUGACAUGGGACCACCAGGAGAGAAC